AGCUUGUUGGUGAGGUAACAGCUCACCAAGGCUACGAUGUCUAGGGGGUCUGAGAGGAUGGUCCCCCACACUGGUACUGAGACACGGACCAGACUCCUACGGGAGGCAGCAGUGAGGAAUAUUGGUCAAUGGGCGAAAGCCUGAACCAGCCAUGCCGCGUGAAGGAUGACAGCCCUAUGGGUUGUAAACUUCUUUUGUACGGGAAGAAACGCUUCUACGUGUAGAGGUUUGACGGUACCGUACGAAUAAGCAUCGGCUAACUCCGUGCCAGCAGCCGCGGUAAUACGGAGGAUGCAAGCGUUAUCCGGAUUUAUUGGGUUUAAAGGGUACGUAGGCGGGAGCUUAAGUCAGUGGUGAAAUCCUGCAGCUUAACUGUAGAACUGUCAUUGAUACUGGGCUUCUUGAAUGUAGUUGAGGUAGGCGGAAUGUGUAAUGUAGCGGUGAAAUGCUUAGAUAUUACACAGAACACCGAUUGCGAAGGCAGCUUACUAAACUACGAUUGACGCUGAGGUACGAAAGCGUGGGGAGCGAACAGGAUUAGAUACCCUGGUAGUCCACGCUGUAAACGAUGAUCACUCGUUGUUGGCAAUACACCGUCAGCGACUGAGCGAAAGCAUUAAGUGAUCCACCUGGGGAGUACGACCGCAAGGUUGAAACUCAAAGGAAUUGACGGGGGCCCGCACAAGCGGAGGAACAUGUGGUUUAAUUCGAUGAUACGCGAGGAACCUUACCUGGGCUUAAAUGUAGAACGACGGACCGGGAGACUGGUCUUUCUUCGGACGGUCUGCAAGGUGCUGCAUGGCUGUCGUCAGCUCGUGCCGUGAGGUGUCGGGUUAAGUCCCAUAACGAGCGCAACCCUCAUCAUUAGUUGCCAGCGGGUAAUGCCGGGGACUCUAAUGAAACUGCCGGUGUCACCGAGAGGAAGGUGGGGAUGACGUCAAGUCAGCACGGCCCUUAUGUCCAGGGCUACACACGUGUUACAAUGGUCGGUACAAAGGGCAGCUACCUGGCGACAG
rnacentral:rRNA from 1 species